rnacentral:siRNA from 1 species
AGGCUUCUUGAUGGACGUGAUGAU